rnacentral:rRNA from 1 species
GUCAAUUCUGCCCAAUGAUUUUAAAUAAUUAAAUGGCUGCGGUAUAAUUGACUGUACAAAGGUAGCAUAAUCAAUUGUUUUUUAAUUAAAAACUGGAAUGAAAGAGUUAAUGAGAUAUACACUGUCUCAUAUAUAUUAAAUUAAUUUAAAUUUUUAGUUAAAAUGCUAAAAUUAAUUUAUGGGACGAUAAGACCCUAUAGAAUUUUAUAUUAAUAUUUUAAUUAUAAUUUUAUUAUUGAAUAUUAAUAUUUUGUUGGGAGGAUAGGUAAAUUUAUUAAACUUUAUUUUAAAUAUUAACUUUAAUUAAAGAAUAUAUUUUGAUCUUUUAGUAAAAAUGAAAAGAGUAAAUUACCUUAGGGAUAACAGCGUAAUAUCUUUUUAAAGAUCUUAUUGAAAAAGAUGAUUGCGACCUCGAUGUUGAAUUAAGAUAAAUUUUAAAUGAAGAAAUUUAAUAAUUAAGUCUG